rnacentral:lncRNA from 1 species
GGAAAUUCCCAUCUGACCAAAACAGACCCUUACUGUGAGCUGCCCAGGAGGAGACACAUCAUCAAUGAACAAUUGAGGGACGGCAACUGAUUUCAGAGUGCGACAUGGGUCCAUGUGGAGUGAGCAUGGAGAGAAAUCCAGUCCAAACUUCUCUCAUGCUGCUGGUGUACUGGUAGGAAAAUGGACAAAAACAUAAUGAACUGUAAGGACCUGAGCCCAAGGACCAUGCCUCAGGACUACAUGGCAUGAUGACUCCUUGCUGUCCCCAGUCCACCUGGCCGUGCUACUGCUCCAGUUUCAACUGUUCUGCCUGCGGCUAUGGAACCCUGACCUGUUCACUGGACGUGCUACCUGUCCCAGACCUGCUGUUUUCAACUCUCUAGAGACAGCAGGAGCGGUAGAGAUACUCUCAAUGAUCGGCUAUGAAAAGCCAACUGACAUUUACUCUUGAGGUGCUGACUUGUUGCACCCUCGACAACUACUGUGAUUAUUAUUAUUUGACCAUGCUGGUCAUUUAUGAACAUUUGAACAUCUUGGCCAUGUUCUGUUAUAAUCUCCACCUGGCACAGCCAGAAGAGGACUGGCCACCCCUCAUAGCCUGGUUCCUCUCUAGGUUUUGGCCUGUCUAAGGAGUUUUUCCUAGCCACUGUGCUUCUACACCUGCAUUGCUUGCUGUUUGGGGUUUUAGGCUGGGUUUCUGUACAGCACUUUGAGAUAUCAGCUGAUGUAAGAAGGGCUAUAUAAAUACAUUAGAUUUGAUUUGAUUUGAAAUAGCAUAGCCUAAAUAAUAAAUGUGCCUUCCUUCUUAGGCUCCCUGACUGGCUCCUGACCUAUUUAGAGUGUUUAUAUGCUGUUUCAUAUGACAUGUAGCCUAUCUGAAAUUAUGUUCGCAUCUUAAAUUCAC